CGGGUGAGUAACGCGUGGAUAACCUGCCCAGAGGCGGGGGAUAACCCGGGGAAACUCGGGCUAAUACCGCAUGAUACCGAGAGGUCAAAGGGGGCUCGCAAGGGCUCUCGCCAUUGGAGGGGUCCGCGUCCGAUUAGCUAGUUGGUGGGGUAAUGGCCUACCAAGGCGACGAUCGGUAGCCGGCCUGAGAGGGUGAUCGGCCACACUGGAACUGAGACACGGUCCAGACUCCUACGGGAGGCAGCAGUGGGGAAUUUUGCGCAAUGGGCUAACGCCUGACGCAGCAACGCCGCGUGGAGGAUGAAGGUCUUUGGAUUGUAAACUCCUGUCAGCAGGGAAAAAGCGAAUCGGCCUAACACGCCGGUGAGUUGAUUGUACCUGCAGAGGAAGCCCCGGCUAACUCUGUGCCAGCAGCCGCGGUAAUACAGAGGGGGCAAGCGUUAUUCGGAAUUAUUGGGCGUAAAGGGCGCGUAGGCGGCUUGGCAAGUGGAUGGUGAAAUCCCUCGGCUUAACCGAGGAACUGCCAUCCAAACUGCUUUGCUUGAGUCCGGGAGAGGCGAGUGGAAUUCCCAGUGUAGCGGUGAAAUGCGUAGAUAUUGGGAGGAAC
rnacentral:rRNA from 1 species